rnacentral:lncRNA from 1 species
AAAUAACCAUGUCUUACCCCCAAGAGAAACCUGGUACCCCCCACCAACAUCUCCUUCGAACACACCCUCAUCUGCUCCUCCUACUGAACCCCCAAAACCUAGGGUUCGUAGGCAGAAAAUAUUGGCUAGAAAAACUGUAGCAUCUGGAGCCCUAAAGAAAGCUCUAAACGAGAAAUUGAUGGCUAGCCAAAAGAAAGAAAGCCCUGUACAUGAAUCUGACUCCAGCUCUAAGUCUGAAGAUUAUUUUUUCUGCUAGUGAAGUUGAUGAACAUGGGUCUUUUGAUGCUGAG